rnacentral:rRNA from 1 species
UAAGGUGAUUAUUGCGAUAGGGCUCACCUCUUACCAUUCCGAACAGAGAAGUUAAGCCUAUUUGCGCCGAUGGUACUACAUUUGUGGGAGAGUAGGUCGUCGCCUUUU